rnacentral:lncRNA from 1 species
CCGCACCGGCUAGCGUGGUUUCCAACAUUAGUCCUUUAGGACUGCCACUUUCACCACCAACUACACAACCCUCUUUUAAGCUCAAUUAAAAUGUUUAUCACAUAUUCCCAUUCAUUGAACCAUUUUUCACAUUAAGGCAUACAUGGUUGGUAUCGUCAUACCAACUACACUUGCAAGGCAACAACAAUAUGCCACACCAAUCACCAUCUCUUGGGGAAAU